rnacentral:rRNA from 1 species
UACGGAGGGUGCGAGCGUUGUCCGGAAUCAUUGGGUUUAAAGGGUCCGUAGGCGGUUUUGUAAGUCAGUGGUGAAAGCCCAUCGCUCAACGGUGGAACGGCCAUUGAUACUGCAAGACUUGAAUUAUUGGGAAGCAACUAGAAUAUGUAGUGUAGCGGUGAAAUGCUUAGAGAUUACAUGGAAUACCAAUUGCGAAGGCAGGUUGCUACCAAUACAUUGACGCUGAUGGACGAAAGCGUGGGGAGCGAACAGG